rnacentral:lncRNA from 1 species
CUAGAAAACAUGGCACAAGUAUAAUCAACAGGAAGAAAGUGAAACACUUGCAGUUGCAUGGACCAUCAAUGCAAAAAAAACGAGAGGGAAAAACUGAAAUGAAAUUUUUGCUUUUCCUUAUGAGAUGAAAAACUGAAAAGAAUUUUUUUAAUCGUUUGCUUUCUAUGAAGAACAGCAGAAGCUAAUGCGGUGCUGCCUUUCAAUACAAAACAAAAGAAGCAGCGGUUGAUGUACUACGUAUUGUGAAA